rnacentral:rRNA from 1 species
GAUGAACGCUGGCGGCGUGCCUAAUACAUGCAAGUCGAGCGAACAGACGAGGAGCUUGCUCCUUUGACGUUAGCGGCGGACGGGUGAGUAACACGUAUGUAACCUACCUAUAAGACUGGGAUAACUUCGGGAAACCGGAGCUAAUACCGGAUAAUAUUUCGAACCGCAUGGUUCGAUAGUGAAAGAUGGCUUUGCUAUCACUUAUAGAUGGACCUGCGCCGUAUUAGCUAGUUGGUAAGGUAACGGCUUACCAAGGCAACGAUACGUAGCCGACCUGAGAGGGUGAUCGGCCACACUGGAACUGAGACACGGUCCAGACUCCUACGGGAGGCAGCAGUAGGGAAUCUUCCGCAAUGGGCGAAAGCCUGACGGAGCAACGCCGCGUGAGUGAUGAAGGUCUUCGGAUCGUAAAACUCUGUUAUUAGGGAAGAACAAACGUGUAAGUAACUGUGCACGUCUUGACGGUACCUAAUCAGAAAGCCACGGCUAACUACGUG